rnacentral:rRNA from 1 species
GGCUCAGAGCGAACGCUGGCGGCAUGCUUAACACAUGCAAGUCGCACGGGCAGCAAUGUCAGUGGCGGACGGGUGAGUAUCGCGUAGGAACGUGUCGUGAGGUGGGGGACAACCCUGGGAAACUGGGGCUAAUACCGCAUAUGGACUGAGGUCCAAAGCCUUCGGGCGCCUUGGGAGCAGCCUGCGUCCGAUUAGGUAGUUGGUGGGGUAAAGGCCUACCAAGCCUGCGAUCGGUAGCUGGUCUGAGAGGACGAUCAGCCACACUGGGACUGAGACACGGCCCAGAC